CCCAACACCAAAGAAGUAUCCUGCCCACAGUGCCAGUAUGCCGAGGUUGACAAACCCUGCGUUAGAGACUCAGAAGAACCAUCUGUCUUGUUAAAAACAAGCACUAUAGCCGACUAGGAAAAAUGUUGACAAGAAAGAUUGGCAUGUGUACGUCUAACCCAGGAUCUUCUCCACUGAUGCUGUGAGGCUAAGGCUGUGUGUUAGGAAGACACAGUUGGCCUAUUUCAUCUACAACAAUCAGAUUUCACUCAGUCAUCUAUGAUAGUUCCAGCGGCCACAACGUUAUACUGUAGCACAUCCCCUGUCACCCUGGCCUCAAACAGAAGCCUGUCCAGUCUGGACCACUUCAAAUGCCUUGUCACCUCCAUUAUUUCUUUCUUUAUAAUGCAUCAACCGGAGCUAUACCUUCCCUAUAAAGGGGAUAAUUAAAUGAUCAGUUUAGAGGUUGCUUGCUCAUCCCUCCCAAGCAGAAUGAUGGCAUCUCACCUGGAAGCUGUGACAACCAGGAAAGGCGGAAGAAGGAUGUUUAUCAGACACACAUGAACUCAGCUCCCCAGAAUGUAGCACACAGCAGGUGAUUCAUCAUCUGCCCAAAAAAGGGAAAAAACGCUGAGCCUUCCUCACUUCAGCCCCCACCCAUUUCUAGCUAUCCUGUAAGGCUCACCUCAAAGGGGACACUUGAUCCAUCUCUGCUCCAGCCUCCCUGUUACUAUAAACCAUCCAGGGCUUCCCUGGUGGCGCAGUGGUUGAGAAUCUGCCUGCCAAUGCAGGGGACGCGGGUUCGAGCCCUGGUCUGGGAAGAGCCCACAUGCCGCGGAGCAACUGGGCCCGUGAGCCACAAUUACUGAGCCUGCGCGUCUGGAGCCUGUGCUCUGCAACAAGAGAGGCCACGAUAGUGAGAGGCCCGCGCACCGCGAUGAAGAGUGGCCCCCGCUUGCCACAACUAGAGAAAGCCCUCGCACAGAAACGAAGACCCAACACAGCCAUAAAUAAAUAAAUAAAUAAAUAAAUAAAAAGUUA